GCCGCCACCGGGCCGGACGCGGCCGCGCGGCUGCGGGCCGAGUUCGACCGCGGGACGUGCCCGACGCCGUUCGGGGCGGCGGGCGACGC
rnacentral:tRNA from 1 species